rnacentral:lncRNA from 1 species
UGAUCAAGCAUGAAUGCCUCAUUUCUGAUUAAUUCCAAAGGCAGGCACAUCUACACUGGAAUACAUGGAAUUCUCAGUAUUUACAGGCUAAGAAAUCUGUACUCAAAAUUAUCAGCAAAACAUUUAGGUCUUCUCAAUUCAUUCUCUUGCUAACAAGGUGCUGAUAUCAGUUGAUAACUAAUUCCUUCUGCUGCAGGAAACACCAAUUGAUUCAAACAUGCUCGGAAUAAGAAAUAAACCCACUUUCCCGGUUAGAUUGCCUUCUUUUGCCUGUAUGAUCUUGGUUAGUUUAAACUCAAAAAGCACAAACAUGAUUGAUGAUAUAAGUGAUAUAAAUGCAAUAACAGAUUACCCUGAAGCAAAUUUCCCACCCCUUUGGGCUGCUCCAUCACACUUGAAUUUGCAGAAUCCAGAGGUACAAUCUGAAAACAAAAAAAGAUAAAAUAAAUCAACCAUUUGAAGUACAUUAUUUUGAAUAAAGGCAAUAUCACAAAAUAGUUUCCAGGUAUCCAAAAUACAACCAACUCAAAUGUUUCAAGAAAUGGAACCAAUUCAAAUACUGAAAAUCUGUGAAGAUAUUGAGCUUUAGAAUAAGCUAUGAGUGACCUUGUCAACAUGCUAUUGGACUGAAAGCUCUGUUAAUACUAGACAAGUGGGUUGAGGAGUGUUUUGCAUCUCUUCUAAGUCCAGCUUGAACCUUGUCCCUUCGGGGCAAACAUAUACACAGUGGUAUUUUGAUUAACUCUUUCAAUUAAUCGAAGUUUGACUAGCUUAAUCUAGCACAAUGUUUUUGAUACUAAAGAUGAUCCAACAUAGCUUCAAUGGCUAAAAUGUAUAUUCUAAUAAAAAAACAUACAUGAGGUUUCUUGCAGUAUCAUCCAUACACAGAACCAGACAUGUUAAAAUAGUUCCAUUUCAUGUUGUAAGCAAUUCAUUAGAAGCUUGUCAAUUAUUUCUACAAUUUCAUCCGAAAUAAAAUUACAUAUAAUAUUAAUACUAUUUAUUCUUUAGCCAAAUAAAUUAAAAAUAUCAUGGAUAGAAUUCAAAAUGAGUCUUAGCUUAGCCAAAAAGUAACUCAGAAAUAAU